GAGUUUGAUCCUGGCUCAGAACGAACGCUGGCGGCGUGCCUAACACAUGCAAGUCGAACGUGAUCCAGAGCUUGCUCUGGUGAAAGUGGCGCACGGGUGAGUAACGCGUGGAUAACCUACCCUGGUAUCCGGGAUAACAUUCCGAAAGGGGUGCUAAUACCGGAUAAGCCCACGGGCUCUUUGGAGCUUGCGGGAAAAGGUGGCCUCUAUUUAUAAGCUACUGUAUCAGGAUGGGUCCGCGUACCAUUAGCUAGUUGGCGGUGUAACGGACCACCAAGGCGACGAUGGUUAGCUGGUCUGAGAGGAUGAUCAGCCACACUGGAACUGAGACACGGUCCAGACUCCUACGGGAGGCAGCAGUGGGGAAUUUUGCGCAAUGGGGGAAACCCUGACGCAGCAACGCCGCGUGAGUGAUGAAGGCCUUUGGGUCGUAAAGCUCUGUCAGAGGGGAAGGAAUGAUAUAGUGCUAAUACCACUUUAUCUUGACGGUACCCUCAAAGGAAGCACCGGCUAACUCCGUGCCAGCAGCCGCGGUAAUAC
rnacentral:rRNA from 1 species